ACCAUCAUCAACAUCACCAUCAUCACCAUCAUCAGUCAUGAUUUCUCGAGGUCUACUGCUUGUUCUGCUGGUUCUCACCUGCCUUCAGUCUUUUACAACGGCCCAGAGUGUAAAUGUACCAGACUCAUGCUGCUUCAGUUACCACAAUAAUCCAAUCCCUAUCAGAGUCAUUACAGGGUAUAAAGUAACAGACCGUCACUGUUCAAAACCUGGAGUCGUCUUUACCCUGAUGAACAAGCGUCAGGUGUGUGUAGAUCCUGAACACGAGUGGGUGCAGAACCACAUGAAAAAAAUCGACGAGAUCCUGAACAAAUUUGAAUUGAGUGUUUAAAUCAUUUAUAAAAUGAGUAAUGCAUAUUCAUACAAAAUAACUUUUUAUGAUUUUUGAGCAGAAAGAAUCUAUUACAUCUAGUAAAUCUUCUCAAUAGUACUUCCUGCUACCAUUCCUUCUUUUUCUUCAUUCUAUAAGUAAUGUGAAUUUUCUAAUCAGACACAAUACAGUUAAAGACUUUGAUUAUGUUCAACAUAAACCUGUAAAAGAAUUAAUGUGAAUAAAUAAUGACUGUAUUAUAAGAUGUUAUUGUGUAUUGUUUAUUUCUGUGUAUUAAUGUAGACACAGUAAAGGUUGUGUAAG